GACGAACGCUGGCGGCGUGCUUAACACAUGCAAGUCGAGCGGUAAGGCCCUUUCGGGGGUACACGAGCGGCGAACGGGUGAGUAACACGUGGGUGACCUGCCCUCAGCUCUGGGAUAAGCCUGGGAAACCGGGUCUAAUACUGGAUAUGACUCCAUGACGCAUGUUGUGGGGUGGAAAGCCUUGUGCGGCUGAGGAUGGGCCCGCGGCCUAUCAGCUUGGUUGGUGGGGUGANGGCCUACCAAGGCGA
rnacentral:rRNA from 1 species